rnacentral:snRNA from 1 species
GAGUGGUCACUUUGCCAUC